rnacentral:misc_RNA from 1 species
CCUGUGUUGGUGAACCACUGUUUCAGUGUACUGGGAGGAUGCAUGGGAGCGUGGCGUGGUGGUUCGUGGUGCUGUGUGGCGGGGCCGCUUUGGUCGUUGAGGGAGCCACUGUUUGUACAGACAGACCGGUCAUUGGGAUCAUAGCCCAGGCUUCCAGCAGCAAGCGCCAUGGAGACACCUUCAUACCAGCCAACUACAUCAAGUACUUAGAACAGGCCGGGGCGAGGGUGGUACCCAUUCGUGUACGACAGACCCAACAGUACUAUGAACAACUUUUCUCCAAGAUUAAUGGCGUCCUGUUUCCGGGUGGCCACGUUAGCAUCGUCUCCAGCGACUACUCCAAAACUGCCAGGAUCAUCUACGACUUGGCUGUUAAGGCCAACUCCGAGGGCGAGGUGUUCCCCCUGUGGGGUUCGUGUGAGGGGUUCCAGCUGAUGACGUACUUGAGUACAGGACACAGACUGCUGCACUCAUCAGAGGCCUACAACGUCAGUCUGCCUCUCAUCCUGCAAACAGGUUACGAAACAAGCAGAAUGCUCGGAGGACUGACAUCCCAGCUGACCACAAUUCUGACCAGCGAGAAUGUUACUCCUAACUUCCAUCACUACGGCGUGUCGGUUGAGACAUACAACAAGUCGGCGUCUCUAAGACACUUCUUCCGUGUUUUAUCCACAAACAGGGACAACAAGGGGAAGUUGUUUGUCUCGACUGCUGAAGCCUACAAGUACCCGUUCUAUGGCACACAGUGGCACCCGGAGAAGAUCAAUUUUGAAUGGAACCCCAGUCUUGCUAUCAACCAUGGAGCUAAUGGAGUCCUUGUGUCACAGUACUUCGCCAACUUCUUUGUCAAUGAGGCUAGAAGAAGUUGCCACCAGUUCCCGAGUGACAGAGAAGCCGGUCACUUGCUCAUUGAGAAGUUCUUCAUGAAUUACUGGGAUGGCGGUUCCUUCAAACAGAUCUACUACUUCAACUUCACUCAGCCUGAGGGCAGCCACUUGGUCGGCUAGCUUCACUCCAAGGACAGCCAUUCUGGACCACUCACAGGAGAAUAACCACUUGAGUGGCUAGACCAUGCGGAGUAGAACCACUUGGUCGGCUAGCUAGCCCACCUGGAGGAGAACCACUUGGUCGGCUAGCCCAUCCAGUGGAGAUUUACUUGGAUGGCUAGCCCAUCCAGAGCAGAACCACUGUGUCGACUAGCCCCUCCGGAUUUGCUUGGUAGGCUAGUUUAUCCUGAGGACAAACACUUGGUCGGCUAGCCCAACUGGAGGACAACCCCUUGGCCGAUUAGCACAUUCGGAGGAAGAUCACUUGGUCGGCUAGCCCAUUCAGAGCAGAAACCCUUGGUCGACUAGCCUACCCAGAGCAGAACCAAUUGGUCGACUUGCCAACUCCAUGGACAACCGCUUAUCUGUGUCUUAAUCUCCUGUGCGUGGUCACGUUGUAUUGGCCUUGAGGUGAUGUUUCACCUUGUACAUAACUAUCUGACUCCGGCAACUGUACCAAGACAAGGAAGUAGGUUGAAUACCUCAUGAUGUCCAAUUAUUAUCUAGCAUAUUUUCCGAAACCUUAAUAUCAGAAGAGCACUGGUGCUGGGAAUGACAAAACUGUUUCUGUGUUGACAAGUUACAAGUUAAUAAAUAAUAAAUAUAAAGAGUACGUGAUUUUUUCCUCAUGCCGCAUCAUCAACCCGGAUGAGAUUAGGAUGAUGAUCCUACGGUUGGCUGCACAUCCAUCAGUAGUUCCUCAUAGCCCAAGAGGAAAUAAAAAUGUCUGAUUUUAACUACCGCAUUAUGUAAUAAAAUAUUUUCCUCACAUCUUUCAAUUUGGGAGGACAAAGAGGUGUUCA